rnacentral:rRNA from 1 species
AGGACGAACGCUGGCGGCGUGCUUAAUACAUGCAAGUCGAGCGGAAAGGCCCUUCGGGGUACUCGAGCGGCGAACGGGUGAGUAACACGUGAGUAAUCUGCCCCUAGCUCUGGGAUAGCUCCGGGAAACCGGGAUUAAUACCAGAUACGACCACUUUAGACAUCUGCUGUGGUGGAAAGAAUUUCGGCUAGGGAUGAGCUCGCGGCCUAUCAGCUUGUUGGUGAGGUAACGGCUCACCAAGGCGACGACGGGUAGCCGGCCUGAGAGGGGCGUACCGGGCCAACGACGUCGGGACUUAGGAGACACGGCCCAGACUCCUACGGGAGGCAGCAGUGGGGAAUAUUGGACAAUGGGGGAAACCCUGAUCCAGCGACGCCGCGUGUGUGAAGAAGGCCUGCGGGUUGUAAAGCACUUUUAGUGGGGACAAAAAGCUACGGAUUAAUACUCUGUGGUCUUGAUUUAACCCAAGAAAAAAGCACCGGCUAACUCUGUGCCAGCAGCCGC